GAAGACCAAGGGUUCCUGUCCAACGUUAAUCGGGGCAGGGUAAGUCGACCCCUAAGGCGAGGCCGAAAGGCGUAGUCGAUGGGAAACGGGUUAAUAUUCCCGUACUUCUUACAAUUGCGAUGGGGGGACGGAGAAGGCUAGGUGGGCCUGGCGACGGUUGUCCAGGUUCAAGUGCGUAGGCUUAAGAGUUAGGUAAAUCCGGCUCUUUUUAAGGCUGAGACACGACGUCGAGCACCUACGGGUGUGAAGUCAUUGAUGCCAUGCUUCCAGGAAAAGCCUCUAAGCUUCAGAUUGUAAGGAAUCGUACCCCAAACCGACACAGGUGGUCGGGUAGAGAAUACCAAGGCGCUUGAGAGAACUCGGGUGAAGGAACUAGGCAAAAUGGUACCGUAACUUCGGGAGAAGGUACGCUCUUGAUGGUGAAGUCCCUCGCG
rnacentral:rRNA from 1 species